rnacentral:rRNA from 1 species
GAUGAACGCUGGCGGCGUGCCUAAUACAUGCAAGUCGAGCGAACGUUAGAGUAUCUUACUUCUCUGAUGUUUGCUUCGGUCGUGUGAGUAACCCGUGGAGUACCUCCCUGUAAACCUGGCAUAACUUCGGGAAACCGGAGCUAAUACCGGAUAUUAUUUUGCAUCACAUCGUUCAACAGUGAAAGUCGGUCUUGCUGUCACUUAUGGAUGGAUCUGCGCUGCCUUAGCUAGUUGGUAAGGUAACGGCUUACCAAGGCAACGAGGCAUAGCCGACCUGAGAGGGUGGUUGGCCACACGGGAACUGAGACACGAUCGAGACUCCGACGGGAGGCAGCAGUAGGGAAUCUUCCGCAAUGGGGGAGUGCCUGACGGAGCAACGUCGCGUGAGUGAUGAUGGACUGCGGACCGGAAAACGCUGAUAUUAGGGAAGAACAUAUGUGUAAGUAGCUGGGCACAUCUUGACGGUACCUAAUUAGAAAGCCACGGCUAACUACGUG